CCUACGGGAGGCAGCAGUGGGGGAUAUUGCACAAUGGGGGAAACCCUGAUGCAGCGACGCCGCGUGUGGGAAGACGGUCUUCUGGAUUGUAAACCACUGUCCCCAGGGACGAAAAUGACGGUACCUAGUGAGCAAGCUCCGGCUAACUACGUGCCAGCAGCCGCGGUAAUACGUAGGGCGCAAGCGUUGUCCGGAAUUACUGGGGGAAAAGGGAGCGGAGGCGGGGAUGCAAGUUGAGUGUCAAACCUACCGGCUCAACCGAUAGUCGCACUCAAAACUGCAGCUCUUGAGUGAAGUAGAGGCAGGCGGAAUUCCUAGUGUAGCGGUGAAAUGCGUAGAUAUUAGGAGGAACACCAGUGGCGAAGGCGGCCUGCUGGGCUUUUACUGACGCUGAGGCUCGAAAGUGUGGGGAGCAAACAGGAUUAGAUACCCGGGUAGUC
rnacentral:rRNA from 1 species